rnacentral:rRNA from 1 species
AUACGGAGGGUGCGAGCGUUACCCGGAAUUACAGGGCUUAAAGGGUCCGUAGGCGGGUUCGUGCGUCGGUCGUGAAAGGCUCGGGCUUAACCUGGGUUGGUCGGCCGAUACGGUGGAUCUUGAGUCACGUCGGCGCUGGGGGAAUUCCCGGUGUAGCGGUGAAAUGCGUAGAAGUCGGGAGGAACGUCGAUCGCGAAGGCACCUAGCGAGGCGUGUACUGACGCUGAGGGACGAAGGCUGGGGGAGCGAACCGGAUUAGAAACCCUUGUAGUCC